rnacentral:lncRNA from 1 species
CAACCAAAAUCUUAUAUCAAUUAUUUUUCAAACUCACAAUCAAUCCAAUUGAUUUUUUAGGAUCACCAACUAAAAUCUACAAUAUCCAAUUCCAGACUUGGACGGACCUUAAUCCCAAGUUUCUUUUUCCAAAAGAAACUUGUAAAGAAAAUCCAAAAAUAUAAGGGAUAGAAAUUUCAUCACAAAUAAAAUAGAAAAUAAAAACUCUUUUUAGCAUGAAGAAAGUCGAUGAAGAGUUAUUUUUUUGAUGCUUGACUUCUCUUCUUUGAUGCUUAGGAGG